rnacentral:sRNA from 1 species
GCGGUCGGUCGGCGCCUAUUCUCGGGCUGUUUGGCGGACGAAGCUUCACAAAAGAUGUCUAAGCAACAGCCAACUCAGUUUAUAAAUCCAGAAACACCUGGCUAUGUUGGAUUUGCAAAUCUCCCCAAUCAAGUUCACCGAAAAUCAGUGAAAAAAGGUUUUGAGUUCACACUGAUGGUGGUCGGUGAAUCAGGUCUAGGAAAAUCGACUCUCAUAAACAGCCUAUUCCUAACUGAUCUGUACCCAGAAAGAGUCAUACCUGGAGCAGCAGAAAAAAUUGAAAGAACCGUCCAGAUUGAGGCUUCAACUGUUGAAAUUGAAGAGCGAGGGGUCAAGCUACGCCUGACAGUGGUAGAUACCCCUGGCUAUGGUGACGCUAUCAACUGCAGAGAUUGUUUUAAGACAAUUAUCUCCUAUAUUGAUGAGCAAUUUGAGAGGUACCUGCAUGACGAGAGCGGCUUGAACAGGCGGCACAUCAUUGAUAAUAGGGUGCAUUGUUGCUUUUACUUUAUUUCACCUUUUGGACAUGGGUAAGUAAUUGUUUAUCAUGGGGAAAUGCUUUACUACGUGG